UACGAAGGGGGCUAGCGUUGCUCGGAAUUACUGGGCGUAAAGCGCACGUAGGCGGAUCCUUAAGUCGGUGGUGAAAUCCUGAAGCUCAACUUCAGAACUGCCUUCGAUACUGGGGACCUUGAGUUCGGGAGAGGUGAGUGGAACUGCGAGUGUAGAGGUGAAAUUCGUAGAUAUUCGCAAGAACACCAGUGGCGAAGACGGCUCACUGGCCCGAUACUGACGCUGAGGUGCGAAAGCGUGGGGAGCAAACAGG
rnacentral:rRNA from 1 species